rnacentral:rRNA from 1 species
AUGGCCAUACCACAUUGAAAACACCGUUUCUCAUCCGAUCACUGAAGUUAAGUAAUGUCGGGCCUGGUCAGUACUUGGGAGGGUGACCACCUCUUUGAUUCAACA